rnacentral:lncRNA from 1 species
CUGGAGGAGGAAAUGGCAAUCCACUUCAGUAUUUUUGCCUGGAGAAUUCCAUGAACAGAAAAACCUGGCAGACUGCAGCCCAUGGGGUCCCAAAAGUGUUGGACACGGGCUGAAGCAACUUAGCACACAGAUAUGUGCUAAUAGAAAUAACAACUAUUAGCAUUCUGCCCUUAUGAGCUGGCACUGUGCUAAGUGCUUUACUUUCUUCAGCUCAUUUUCUCAGCCUAACACUGUACCAGGUGAGUGCUAUCAUCAUCUUCAUUUUAUCAUUCCAAGCUGGGUGGUGCAUGAAAUACUUCCAGGUGCUGGGCCUCUCUGCUGACCUCUGCCCCUUCCUGUGUCCACAGCCACUUGCUUGUGAGUCAUCUGCUUUCAGAGUCCCCUUGGGAUGUGGAGAGUUCCUGCUGCAGCUGUGAAGGGGGUGGCCUGGCUGUGAGGACUGCACAAGAAGAUCCCCAUGAAUUACAAGGGACUCUGUGGGGCCAAGGGGCUGGAUCUUCUCUGGUCUGCUCGGCUGGGUCUGUGCCCACUCUUUUGGCUGCUUUCCAGAAACCUGUUGUGCUCUCACAACAUCUCCUUUGUUCACAUGGUGAGUUUAUAUAUCAAAACAAACAUUUGUUUACAGUUUCUAUUUUUGUGUCCUAGAAAAAAUCUGACUUAAAUGCUUGUGGCCAGUCUACCACAUUUAAUUGGAAGAUUCACAUUGUGUUUUCAUCCUUUAAAAUCUCCUCUGGAUGCAUUAUGUUCCCUUUCUCACUCCUGAUUCUAUAUCGGUUUUAACUUUAUUUUAAUCAAGUUUGAGUGGUCUAUAGACUCUUUCCUAUUUCAGUGGUGUUUUGGUUUCAUGUGUCAAGUAUAAUAUAUAUUUUUAGAAAAUGUCUCUUCAUUCACCUUUCUCCUAUUAUUUGAAAUCACUUUGUUGUUCUGUUUAUAACUUCUUGAGAAAGAUGCUUAGCUAGCAAAUCUUUAUUGUUCCCAACAUAUUCAUUAAAGAUUAUACAUUUUCCUCUAUAUGUUCCUUUAAGCCCAUAAGUUUUUUUCUAUAAACUUUUAAAUCAAAGUAUAACAUUUAUCCAGGAAAGUAUACACAUUUUAAAAGUAUAGCUCAAUGAAUUUUAGAGCACAGCCUUGUAACCACCCCUGAGAUCAAGAAGUUAAACAUUCUCAGUGACCCAGGAGUGCCUUUCUCGGCUCCCUGUGGUGUGGACCUGUACUGCUUUGGAAAUAUGAAGAAUCAUUUUCAGUUGUCACAAGACAAGGCAGGACUGAAGUCAUUUGUUCAAUAGAGGUGGGGAGAUGAAACAUCCUGCAGGGUGUGGGAUAGAUCUGCCCAACACAGAACUGUCCCACCCAAAAUGCCAACAGCUCUACCACUGACAGACAUGGGGGCAGACUCAUCCUUGCUCCCUUUGCUGCCGUGGCCCCAGCCUGUGACCUGUUAGCUUACUCACACCCUCCAAUUCCAGUUGCCUUUCAUUCCCAGAUGUCUGUAGUUACCUGCCACAUUUAUCUGGCACCUGUGCCCUGUCCCACCUGGUGUGUCCACCUGGAAAUGCCUUUUCUGGAUUAGCCUGAGGGACACAAUGCACCUUUCAAAACUUAUACCCCUUCCACGGCUUUGCAGCAUUUGGGUGUCCACACUACUGACUAUAAGCCCUUCAAGGAUAGGAAAUGUGUAUUCUGCAAUUUCUGUUUCCCCAAACACCCAGGAAAACCCCAGCUACAUAAAAGGAGUUCAAAAAAGGUUUGUUAUAUGAAUACUCAAUAGUAUGGUGUUCAUUAUAUGAUUUUAUUUUAAUUGGGAAGCUUUAUUUAAUACAGUGGGUAUCUUGCCAUGAGCAUCGGCUGUACUGUUGUUCCUGCAAAAUUAUUUGAUCCUUUAUCCAUUCUGUGGCUGAUCAAUCUCAAAUAAAAACAGUUUUUGGCUGUUAUCA